rnacentral:rRNA from 1 species
CCUACGGGUGGCAGCAGUGGGGGAUAUUGCACAAUGGGGGAAACCCUGAUGCAGCGACGCCGCGUGUGGGAAGACGGUCUUCUGGAUUGUAAACCACUGUUCCCAGGGACGAAAAUGACGGUCCCUGGGGAGGCAGCUCCGGCUAACUACGUGCCAGCAGCCGCGGUAAUACGUAGGGAGCCAGCGUUGUCCGGAAUUACUGGGUGUAAAGGGAGCGUAGGCGGGGAUGAAAGUUGGGUGUCAAAACUACCGGCUCAACCGAUAGUCGCAGUCGAAACUGCAGGUCUUGAGUGAAGUAGAGGCAGGCGGAAUGCGUGGUGUAGCGGUGAAAUGCGUAGAUAUUAGGAAGAACACCGGUGGCGAAGGCGGCCUGCUGGGCUUUUACUGACGCUGAGGCUCGAAAGUGUGGGGAGCAAACAGGAUUAGAUACCCCAGUAGUC